GACGAACGCUGGCGGCGUGCUUAACACAUGCAAGUCGUGCGGUAAGGCCCUUUCGGGGGUACACUAGCGGCGAACGGGUGAGUAACACGUGAGCAACCUGCCCUUCACUUUGGGAUAACUGCCGGAAACGGUGGCUAAUACCGGAUAUGACUUCCUCACGCAUGUGGGGUGGUGGAAAGCCUUCGGGUGGUGGGGGAUGGGCUCGCGGUCUAUCAGCUUGUUGGUGGGGUGAUGGCCUACCAAGGCUUCGACGGGUAGCCGGCCUGAGAGGGUGACCGGCCACACUGGGACUGAGACACGGCCCAGACUCAUACGGGAGGCAGCAGUGGGGAAUAUUGGACAAUGGGCGAAAGGCUGAUCGAGCAACGACGCGUGAGGGAUGACGGCCUUCGGGUUGUAAACCUCUUUCGACUGCGACGAAGCGAGAGUGACGGUAGCAGGUAAAGAAGCACCGGCCAACUACGUG
rnacentral:rRNA from 1 species